ACAAAAGUCAUCAGCAUGCACUCGUGGAACUACUGCAGAACUAAUUGCUGUCCAAUCUACACUCUGAAUGCCCAGGCAUAACAUCUCAUGCCUUAAAGGCAAAGUAAGAAAGUGCAGGAAUAAGAGCCCAAGGGGGAUUGGAAUCUUCAGGGACAACUGCAAAAGGGGAAGGUUUUUGCUACAAAGGAGGAAAUUGCCACGGCUUUGGUCUCCACUAGCAAGCCAUCUUGGAAAAAACUGAUUCAGUCACAAGCCAAAUGAGGAGCAGGGAAAUCAUUAGGGGUUUAUUUUUAUUUGAAAAUUCAACAUAUACUCAGUGAACUCAAGUGGUGUGUUCACUAAUUUAUUUCCCUACUUUUUUCUUUUUUUCUUCUUCCUUUAGAUACACACCCACAAACCCAUGGAUUCAUAUAUUCACAAAGUAGACAGUGAGAGCUUGCCAUAUGCAAGCAUGCUGAUUAAGGUUAAAACCACAAAAUUGAUUUUCUUUUCUCCUUGUCACUGCACGCAAAAUACC